UACGUAGGGUGCGAGCGUUAAUCGGAAUUACUGGGCGUAAAGCGUGCGCAGGCGGCGAUGUAAGACAGAUGUGAAAUCCCCGGGCUCAACCUGGGAACUGCAUUUGUGACUGCAUCGCUGGAGUGCGGCAGAGGGGGAUGGAAUUCCGCGUGUAGCAGUGAAAUGCGUAGAUAUGCGGAGGAACACCGAUGGCGAAGGCAAUCCCCUGGGCCUGCACUGACGCUCAUGCACGAAAGCGUGGGGAGCAAACAGG
rnacentral:rRNA from 1 species